UACGUAGGUGGCAAGCGUUGUCCGGAAUUAUUGGGCGUAAAGCGCGCGCAGGCGGUCCUUUAAGUCUGAUGUGAAAGCACACGGCUCAACCGUGGAGGGUCAUUGGAAACUGGGGGACUUGAGUGCAGAAGAGGAGAGCGGAAUUCCACGUGUAGCGGUGAAAUGCGUAGAGAUGUGGAGGAACACCAGUGGCGAAGGCGGCGUCUCUGGUCGUAACUGACGCUGAGGCGCGAAAGCGUGGGGAGCGAACAGG
rnacentral:rRNA from 1 species